UACGGGGGGGGCAAGCGUUGUUCGGAAUUACUGGGCGUAAAGGGCUCGUAGGCGGCCAACUAAGUCGGACGUGAAAUCCCUCGGCUUAACCGGGGAACGGCGUCCGAUACUGGAUGGCUUGAGUUUGGGAGAGGGAUGCGGAAUUCCAGGUGUAGCGGUGAAAUGCGUAGAUAUCUGGAGGAACACCGGUGGCGAAGGCGGGUUUCUGGGCCGAUACUGACGCUGAGGAGCGAAAGCGUGGGGAGCAAACAGG
rnacentral:rRNA from 1 species